UACGUAGGGGGGCAAGCGUUUGUCCGGAAUCAUUGGGCGUAAAGAGCGUGUAGGCGGCCCGGUAAGUCCGCUGUGAAAGUCCAGGGCUCAACCCUGGGAUGCCGGUGGAUACUGUCGGGCUCGAGUCCGGAAGAGGAGUGUGGAAUUCCUGGUGUAGCGGUGAAAUGCGCAGAUAUCAGGAGGAACACCAAUGGCGAAGGCAGCACUCUGGGACGUGACUGACGCUGAGACGCGAAAGCGUGGGGAGCAAACAGG
rnacentral:rRNA from 1 species